GGAAUGUGAUGGUUGAGGAAUUUGGAUUGGGCAACCAGGAGCUAACAAAGGUUUUAGGGAAGGAUCACGAUGAAAAGUUUGGGGAGAUAUUCACCUAGAUCUGUGGGUUCUGUGAACUAGGCUAGCACUUAAAUACAGUCUGAAUUCAAACAUGAAAUGCAAAAAGACAACAGGGAUUAUCUGGGAGAAUGAAGGACAUGCUUUUGGUCUUUAUUGCUCAAACCAUGUCAUGGCUAGAUGUUCCUCUCAAUUUGUGUUGAAUAGAUAGGAUUUCUGUCACAUUAGAGUAUGAAGAGCAUGAGAGUAAACAGUGCCCUCUGAAAAGGAAAAUCUUUUAGCUUGAGCAAAUUUAUUUUUAUUAUUUAUUUAUUUUUUGAGACAGAGUCUCACUUUGCCACCCAGGCUGGAGUGCGAUGGCAUGAUCUCAGCUCACUACAACCGCUGCCUCCCAGGUUCAAGCCAUUCCCCUGCCUCAGCCUCCCGAGUAGCUGGGACUACUGAAGUGCACUACCAUGUCUGGCUAAUUUUCGUAUUUUUAGUAGAGACAGGAUUUUGCCAUGUUGGCCAGGCUGGUCUCGAACUCCUGACCUCAGGUGAUCCACCCACCUCGGCCUCCCAAAAUGCUGGGAUUACAGAUGUGAGCCACCACACCCAGAAUUUUUUUUUUAAUUUAAAGGUUAAGGAUGCACCGUGACAUAGUCUCAGGAGGUCCUGAUGACCUGUGCUGAGCCAAUUUUAAAAGGAGCUCAAAUUCUGAGGCCUGCAGGUUUACUUAUUCCAGUGCUUCAGAGGCUAAAGUCCCUCUGGAUUCUUAGCUGCAUACAAAUAUUUAUUUUGAAAUUGAGCAAAUUUGUAGAAAAAUCUUGUGCCGAGUACUAGUCUCUAAAUUAUUUAUGACUCCAAAUUUUCUGCCAGUCUUGACUGUGGUCUGACCAUAGAUUUUAUUUUAUUUACUCGUUAUUUAUUUAUUUAUUUUUUGGAGACAGAGUUUCGCUCUUGUUGCCCAGGUUGGAGUGCAAUGGUGCAAUCUCGGCUCACUGCAACCUCUACCUCCCAGGUUUAAGUGAUUCUCCUGCCUCAGCCUCCCGAGUAGCUGGGAUUAUAGGCAUGUGCCACCACACCUAGCUAAUUUUUUUUUUUUUUUUUUUUUUUUUUGAGACAGAGUCUCGCUCUGUCACCCAGGCUGGAGUGCUGUGGCAUGAUCUCAGCUCACUGCAAGCUCCUUCUCCCGGGUUCACGCCAUUCUCCUGCCUUAGCCUCCCAAGUAGCUGGGACUACAGGCACCCGCCACCAUGCCCAGCUAAUUUUUUUUUGUAUUUUUAGUAGAGACGGGGUUUCAUCGUGUUAGCCAGGAUGGUCUCGAUCUCCUGACCUCGUGAUUUGCCUGCCUCAGCCUCUCAAAGUGCUGGGAUUACAGGCGUGAGCCACCGCAUCUGGCCAAUUUUUUUUUUUUUUUUUUUGAGACAGAGUCUCACUCUUUAACCAGGCUGGAGUGCAGUGGCACGAUCUUGGCUUACUGCAACCUCUGCCUCCCGGGUUCAAGUGAUUCUCCUGCCUCAGCCUCCCGAGUAUCUGGGACUACAGGGCACACCACCACACCCAGCUAAUUUUUGUAUUUUUAGUAGAGACGGGGUUUUGGGCAGGAUGGUCUCGAUCUCUUGACCUCCUGAUCUGCCUCGGCCUCCCAAAGUGCUGGGAUUACAGGCGUGAGCCACCGCACCCGGUCAGCUAAUUUUUGUAUUAUUAGUAGAGACAGGAUUUCACCAUGUUGGCCAGGCUGGUCUCGAACUCCUGACCUCAGGUGAUCCACCACCUCUGCCUCCCAAAGUGUUGGGAUUACAGGCAUAAGCCACCGUGCCCGACCAAAAUUUCUAUGUAUUAAGAUAAUACAUGUACUUAAAAAAAAUAGAUAUGUACUGUCCCACAGAUCUGAGGCACCACAGUUUGCUUAGUUAUCCCUUAUUGUAGGCCAUUUUGUUUGUUGGUUCAUUCAUUCAUUAGUGGUAAAACUACCCAGGCUUUGUGCUCAUUCUCAGCAUGUGGACAUAAGUUAUAGCUCUUGCUGUCAAGGAAUAUAUAGUCUAGGAGAGACAGAUGUGGAAAACAAGUAUAGUACAGUUAUAUAUAAUCAAGAUGAACCUCAGUGUUCCAGGAAUAUCUACCAUGCUCCAGUUCUUCCUGAGAGAUUACACAUUCCCCACCUCACUGACAAUGGCAGUGAGCCCGGGACUAGGUUCCUUUCCCAGGGGGCUGUGAGCAUCAAGGCUAUGGGGAGGAGCACUGGCACUGUUAGGCAGAGGCUGCAUUUGACACUUCUGGAGGGUAACCAAGGGUGAUGGGUGCCAAAUCUCCUACGACCAGGGGUCUCCUAUUGCACUGACACUGCUGCAACUCAGUUUCAGCCGGAAUUUGGCUGACUAGUGAAUAGGCGCUGAGUUCUGAGAUGGAGGUUCUAGUAAUCCCCUAGGCCAGCCUCCAGUCAGCUGUGAAGGUGGUGGGGAGAAAAGGAGGCCAGAUCAUGCCAGGCCCAAACAGGGCUGUCAAGGGCAACAGGAGAUAUGGUAUGGCAGGCAUGAUAGAUACCUUCUGGGUAUCUGAGUGAUGAAUAGAUGGAGGUGGGAAUGAAGGUGGAUUUUGGUAUUUUCUUAGAAUGAAAGACAGCUGAGAAUCUGCACAUAUAGGGUUGCCUAAAAUACAAGACACUUGGUUAUAUUUUAAUUCUAGGUAAACAACAAAUUUUUUCUUAGGCUGGGUGCAGUGGCUCAUGCCUGUAAUCCCAGCAACUUUGGGAGGCUAAGGUGGGUAAAUCACCUGAGGAAAGGAGUUUGAGACCAGCCUGGCCAACAUAGUGAAACUCUGUCUCUACUAAACAUACAAAAAUUAGCUGGGCAUGGUGGCAAGCGCCUGUAACCACAGCUACUGGGGAGGCUGAGGCAGGAGAAUCACUUGAACCUGGGAGGUGGAGGUAGCAGUGAGCUGAGAUUGAGCCAUUGCACUCCAGCCUGGGUGACAGGAGCGAAAUUUCAUCUUGGAAAAAAAAAAGAAGAAAAUAUUAUGUAUUUAAUGGCAUUGUAUGGUACCCAUUGUUUUUUCAUUUUACAAUAUAUCCUGAAUAUUUUCUGGGUUACUCACCAGUCUACUCAUAUCUUAAUGGCUACAUGUUACAUUGAUGCACUGAAAUAAAAAAAAUCUCCCUUAUAGAAUAGUUGUUUCUUCUUCGUGGAGUUUUAAGAUACAAAUUAAUCACACAAUACUUAGAGGUGAUCUAUAUUUACUAAAAUCCCAUUUAAAAAAUUUCAAAAGCAGUAUUUUGAAAAAUAGGAUAAAAUAAUCUUAUUGCCCUAACACAAUUCUCUGGCAAUGUAGCUCUCUCUCUCUCUCUCUCUCUCUCUCUCUCUCUCUGUGUGUGUGUGUGUGUGUGUGUGUGUGUGUGUGUGUGUGUAUUUAGGUUAGCUCUAGUUGCUAAUGCAGUUGAAUUAUGUUACCUGGAUACCUCUUGGAGAACCUGAGGUCAUUUUGGCCUGAUGCAUUAAUAUUUAACAAGCCUGUGAUUGAUGGAUUGAUGCUAGCAAAAUUAAUUCAAUCCACCUAGGUUUCUAUCUGUUGGUAAAACAACAAGGCCAUCCAGGGGUUAGAAAGCAAAGACUUCUGGGAGGAAACGAUUGAAAGUGGUUGUGACCUCUAGAAUCUGGAAUUGGGUACCAGCUCCUCCAUUGACCUUCUUUCACCUUUGUUCUCAGAAAAAUGUCUCUUGAUUGGCUGCUGAUGGAUUGGGUUGCCUCCAUCCCUUAUCUUUAACUAAAGUCUUGAACUCUCAGUAAAUUAAUAGACUGGCAGAGAAAACCCCUUUUUAGUUAAGAAGUACUGUAGUGUGAAAACUCUGGUCUUAGAUAUGGUGUUUAGUAUGCAUUGCAGAUAAUUAGUGUAUCAGAUAUAUGGAUUGACUGAAUAUUCUGCUGAAUUGACUAAAUUGGUCUGUGUCAUUCCCCAGUGACGUGGGGCCACCGUUCCUCUCUCACCUCUUUGCCUUUGGGUUCUGUUAAAGGAGGGUAUUCUGGCAUCAUUCCCCAUGCCACAGAUGGGUGGGUUUGCAAUCCAUGGAUCUCUUUUUGACGUAAAAAACAUCAGCUCUGGUGCUUGCUUUGGCAGCACAUAUACUAAAAUUGGAACGAUACAAAGAAGAUUAGCAUGGCCCCUGCACAAGGAUGACAUGCAAAUUCAUGAAGCAUUCCAUAUUUUUCCAAUUAAAAACAACCGGCUGGGCGCGGUGGCUCAUGCCUAUAAUCCUAACACUUUUGAAGGCCAAGAUGGGCAGAUCACUUGAGGCCAGGAGUUCAAGACUAGCCUGGCCAACAUGGUGAAACCCCAUCUUUACUAAAAAUACAAAAAAAAAAAAAAAAAAUUAGCCAGUCGUGGUGGUGGGUGCCUGUAAUCCCAGCUACUUGGGAGGCUGAAGCAGGAGGAUCACACCACUGCACUCCAGCCUGGGCAACAGAAGGAGACUCCAUCUAAAAAAAAAAAAAAUUAAAACAAACAAACCAUAUUAACUCUGGGAUGUGGGCCACACCUUAAUUGACAUCAGCCACAUGAUUUUGUUCCCAGAAAGAUGGUUCAGAACAGAGAUAUUGGCCAGGCAUGGUGGCAUAUGCCUGUAAUCCUAUCACUUUGUGGGGCCAAGGCAGGUAGAUGACUUGAGCCCAGGAGUUCAAGAACAGCCGGGCAACAUGGCAAAACCCCGUCUCUAAUAAAAAUACAAAAAAUUAGCCGGGUGUAGUGGUGUGUGCCUGUAUUCCCAAAUACUUGGGAAGCUGAAGUGGGAGGAUCACUUGAUCUUGAGGAGGCGGAGGUUGCAGUGAGCUGAGAUCAUGCCACUGCACUCCAGCCUGGGUGACAGAGUGAGACCUUGUCUCAGAAAAAAAAAAAAAAAAGAAGUCUUGGAAAAGCUAACAUGAGAAAGUGUUAAUGGGAGGACAUGUGUAAACAUAGUCAAUCAAUAAUCCUUCCACAAUAUUUGAUAUGUCUAAUCCUUACUAAAAUAUCAUGAACCAAUUGUAAAUCUACAUUUUAAGAAAGAUUUGGAGAGCUCAGAGAAGCCAGAAUGAUUGAACAGGUGCUAUAUUGGUAUAUGAGAGAAGGUUAAAGGUUGGGGUUAUUCCACUGGUAAAAGGGAAGGCUGGGAGCCGGGGGGGUGGCGGGGGAGCGGGUGGUGGUCACAAAUGACUUCAAGCAUUUGGAAGGUUAAAAUAAGGCCCCUAACCGCUUUUUGUUUGUUUUUUAGAGACAGGGUUUCACUGUGUUGCCCAGGCUGGAAUGCAGUGGCUAUUCACAGGCAUGGUCAUAGAGCAUAGCCCCAAAUUCCUGGGCCCAAGCAAUCCUUCUGCCUUAGCCUUCCAAAGUUUUUGCUGGGAUUAAAGGUGUGAGCCACUGAGCCCAGCCUAAUGUUAUGAAUUUCUUGGGUUUCUUUUCAGAGAUAGCCUAUCAAUAUACAAGCAAAUAUAUAUUUUUUUCUUUCCCUCUCCUCUUACCCCCUACCUCCCACCUGUUUUUUACACAGUUGCUUGCCUUUUACACUUUCCAAUGUAUCAUGGCAAUUUUCCCUGUCAGUAUAAAUAUCUUCCUUUUAAAGGACUGACUAGUAUUCCAUUGUACAGUGGAGCAUAAUUUAUUUCACGGGCCUCCUUCUGAUGGACAUGUGAGUCUAACCUUUUGUUAAUACAAAAAAGAUUGCUAUUAAUAUUCUUGAAGACACAUAAUUUUCC
rnacentral:lncRNA from 1 species